GCCUCCCAAGUCCCAAGUCCCAACCCCAAACACCGUCUUCCUCCUCGCCAGCCGCCAUGAACGACGACAUCUAAGAAAAAAUAGCCCCCAUGGACGACCGCUGCUCCUCGGCAGCCCCCAGGCCUAGCCGCCGCUCAAGGAUCGGCAGGCCGGAAGGACGCCGGAGGAUCCCGCUGCCUGUCCCGAGUAACGAGGAGGAUCCCCCUGAACCUGCACCGGCAGAAGCGCCUCUCUUUGACGGAGCCCUAAGCCCCUUCACCCCGCUGCUGAGUAAUGAGGAGGAUCCCCCUGAACCUGCACCUCCAGAAGCGCAUCUCUUUGACGGAGUCCUUAGCCCCUUCACCCUGCUGUUCUUGCCUGAGCAGGCUCGGUGUGAUACCAUUGGGGUUUCGCCGCCACCAGCGUGCUUGUCUCCUGGGUCUCCCAUUUUGUCCCGGAGCCCUCGUGACUGGCCUAUGACAUUUUUCAUCAGAGUUGAUCUUGCAGGAUCUUUCCAUGUAUAUCCUCAUAUUGGUGGUCCAUUUCUGAGCUUACAAGAAGCUGAAAAUGCUAUUGAUCGUCAUCUUGAUGACCGACGGGAUAAGGACAUGUGCCCAGAGAAGCUUUCCUUGAUGGACCUUAAAGUAUGCCGUGCUCUUUAUUGGCCUGAUGGCAAAAGGAAGACACUUUCAGAUUAUCAUGCAGCCGAGGAAAGUCGUAGGCAAAUGCGACUAUUGGUUCAAGCUCUCCUGGACAAGUACAAUGAGGACCACAGUCGUGUUGGGGAUCUUGCAUAUGAACUGAAAGAUCUCAUGUGUUACCAAUCAAUUUGUGAGGGCAGCCCACGUGUGUGGUACUAUCAUCUCAAUUUCACUACAAAGACUAAAGAAGAUGAUGAGUUCUGCUGCGGUAUGGAGAAUUUAGUUUUUGCUGAAGUCACACGCAUGCGAGGAGCAUAUAAAGAUUUUGCACUCAGCUGCCUCUACAUGCUCAAGCCUAGUGAUAAUGGUCACUGCUACGGUUGUUCGAAUAAUGGAAAUGUCAAAUUGAAGCACCCCAACAAAGAUGAGGAGUACAUUGGUGGCCACCUGGAUGCUCAUUUGCCAUAUGGUGAAACUACUAUACAACACAGUGGCUCUGAUAAUAAUUUGGAUCAUGAGGAGGAGGAGGCCAUGCUGCAAGCUAAAGAGGAGGAGAGGGUCAAAGAUCUUUAUAAGUGCUAUAGUGAUCCAAAGUUUUUGGAGAAAAUGAGAGGGCGCUUCAAAAACCAUCCUCGUGCAGAAAAAUAUUUUCAAUUAAAAGAAUAGGAAGAUCGACCAAGGUGUGGUGGAAGACAGAAGUUGCCUGGUGCAGCCCCACCCGAUUAUAAGGCCUAUCUCACAAAUUGCAAUAACAAAGGAGCACCUACUUAGUACUACGUAUAGAGCCUUGGAGUUCCCAUCGGAAUCCUGAUCCAAACCGAUCUCGGCAAGGAUUGGUUGGCUUUAUCUACGACAAAGUGGAAGACGGAUCCGCAGAUCAAUCUCUUGCGAGCGGUUACACCAUGGCGAGCGAAGGGUCAACGUCUGCAACUCAGGGCGGCAGCAAGGAGUCUCGAGGUGAGAAGAUUGAAGAGAUGCUGCAAGGGCUGGUGCUUAGGGACGAUGAGGAGGUUGAGGUGGUUCUGGAGGAGAACUUGGAGGAACUGGAGGCUGAUGCGCGGUGGCUAGCCCUUGCUAGGGUUCAUACGUUGAGGAGCUUCAGCCAUGCUUCGUUCUUUGGGUACAUGCGAGCUAGCUGGAGGUGUGCCAAGGACGUGGAGUUUAGACCGGUCAGAGACAUUCUGUUCACGGUCCAGUUCAUGUGCCUUGCAGAUUGGGAGAGAGUUAUGGAGGAUGGACCAUGGUUGUUCCGUGAUUGCCCUGUGAUCAUGGCUCAAUAUGAUGGCUGGUCGGACGUAGAUUCUGUUGAGUUAGUUCAUUAUCCAGCAUGGGUACGAGUCAUGGAUCUGAAGGAGAGGAUGAGGACCGGCAGCAUUCCGAUGCAGCCUGCGCGCAAGGCAGGAUCGGUAAUCCGUCUAGAUGAGAUGUCUGUGAAGGGGCAGGGGGAAGGAGUUCGUGUGGGUGUUAUGCUGGAUGCGACUAAACCUUUGUCGCGAGCUGCUCCUAUCAAGCUGAGUAAAGGGAAGUGCUACUUCCGGCUGGUAUAUGAGAAGAUGCCGGCGUUCUGUGGUGUGUGUGGGCUGGUUGGACAUGUGACGAAGGAGCAUGGCGAUGGUAUCCAUGAGCCGUCGGCCAUUCAGUAUAAGGGGUCAUUGAUUGCACCGGAGUUUCGAAGGAAGGAUUGGGUACCAGGCGGUGGCGGCGGCGGCCGAGGACGUGGUGGUGGCGGCCGUGGAUGGGGUGGCAGACGGUCUGGUUGGACCGAUGUGGCAGAUGAAUGGGAUGAUGAUUUGAGAGAUACCUCUUCAAGCCUGGGGAAGAAGACGGCUGAGCGUACCUCAAUUUCGGCUAACAAAAGGAGAUUGGAGAUGCUGGAUGAUCCGCUAGGGCAGGUCCCGGGCACCAUGCCCAUGCUUACGGACUACCCUCAUGUUCAGGAGGAGGGUGUUGAAGGCGGAGGUGAUGGGGAGACUAAGUCGCCGGAUCAUCCAUUGUCGUGUCGCGACCGUUGGAUCUGGUCAUGGGUGCCUCACACGAGCAGCAGGUGGAGGCGACGCAUCGGGCGAGUGAGUAGGUGGAGGCGACUACGAUUUGUUGGAGGCGCGAGCGUUAAGGCAGAGUCCUCGCUGCCGCCGUCGUCGGCCACGCCCUGGGCUUGCGGCGGCUGCCUCAGGCGGCGGCGAGGGAGGAGAUGGGAAGGGAGGGAGACGGCGGUGCUGGAGGUGCAGUUGCCCUGCAGGGAGCGACGCGGGGGCACCGUUUUGUGCUUCGUUUCCUCAACUGCGAAAUCUCGUUCUCUGGAUAUUGAAGAUGGAUUCUGGAGGCUGGGUAUUUUUUGAUAAUUAUGGUUUAAGUAUCAUGAUGAUGAUCAUCGCAGCAUUGCGGCUGAUGAGAACUUGUUUAGUGAAACUGACUCACCACCGAAAACUGAGGACAAAGGUAUUCCAUCUACAUUCGAGGCAGUUUCAGGUUUGCAUCUCCACACUUUUCAUGGAGGAUUUCAAUGCAAUGAUGCCUAUAAAAUAUCCUUAUGUCCGGUUCAAAAAAUUAUUAUGACUUUCCAGUUGGAUUACAUAGGUUAUUGUCUUUGGGAAUACUGAGUUCUUCUGGUUGUUAUAAUCACUUUGAGAAACUGGGAGGAGAUAUAGGAUUAGUUCAAAACUGCUUCGUUUUUUUAGGUCAGGUCGACCUCUGCACCAUAGCUUCAUAUCUCUGAAUUUCCCCAUCAUUCUGCAUAUGAACACUUAUUAUUGGUGAUGGUUCAUCCCAAUAAAAACAUAUAUAGGUGAUAGUUCAGGUGUUCUUUUCAGUUCUGUAAUGAGAACUUCAGUGGAGCGAUGAGCUAUAGUAGGAUCUUUGGACAAGGUACAAGGUAUAUACUAAACAUAUACUUAGUACCUAAUCAAACUCCGGUGGUUGUUGUAGUUCGCAACGAUGGCGUUCUCUUGCAUUAAUUUGUUUUUGAAAUCCUAAAGGGCAAAGGACACGAUACCUGAUUAGUUGUGUUCAUAAUGUAUUGGCUCAAAUUUCAACAAUUUAAUUGUCUUCAAACUGCAAAUACAAGACAGGCCCAAAGGUCAAAACAAGGUGCUCAAGGAAGUUACAGAGAACAUUGCAAACGAUGUGUUCCAUGAAAUCUCCCUAUUUCUCCUCUCCGAGGUAAUCCAAUGACCUUAUCUAUCAUCACCUUUUUAUUUGAUGUGUGCCCCUUAUCCAGUGAUUUUAUCUGUGAUAAACAUUUUCAUAUGAUUUGGAACCUGAAAGUUGACAAUAUUAUGUAGAUUACUCCCUUAUUGUGGUAUUAGGAAGAACGAUGCACGUUAUGAUUUGAUGAUUUUUGAUUAGCUGAUAUUGUAUUGGCCAGAACAUAGUGAAUUGUUUUUUCAGACAUCUGAAUGUUUGUAUGGAUGUGCACAAAUUUUUUGUACUCAAAUGUGGUUCGUGCAACAAAAAUUUGGACAGAAAAAACCUAUAGAUGCUUCUACUUAUCCA